rnacentral:rRNA from 1 species
GAUGAACGCUGGCGGCGUGCCUAAUACAUGCAAGUCGAGCGAACAGACGAGGAGCUUGCUCCUCUGACGUUAGCGGCGGACGGGUGAGUAACACGUGGAUAACCUACCUAUAAGACUGGGAUAACUUCGGGAAACCGGAGCUAAUACCGGAUAAUAUAUUGAACCGCAUGGUUCAAUAGUUCAAGACGGUUUUGCUGUCACUUAUAGAUGGAUCCGCGCCGCAUUAGCUAGUUGGUAAGGUAACGGCUUACCAAGGCAACGAUGCGUAGCCGACCUGAUAGGGUGAUCGGCCACACUGGAACUGAGACACGGUCCAGACUCCUAAGGGAGGCAGCAGUAGGGAAUCUUCCGCAAUGGGCGAAAGCCUGACGGAGCAAAGCCGCGUGAGUGAUGAAGGUCUUCGGAUCGUAAAACUCUGUUAUUAGGGAAGAACAAAUGUGUAAGUAACUAUGCACGUCUUGACGGUACCUAAUCAGAAAGCCACGGCUAACUACGUG